AACGAACGCUGGCGGCAUGCCUAACACAUGCAAGUCGAACGAGACCUUCGGGUCUAGUGGCGCACGGGUGCGUAACGCGUGGGAACCUGCCCUUAGGUUCGGAAUAACUCCCCGAAAGGGGUGCUAAUACCGGAUAAUGUCUUCGGACCAAAGAUUUAUCGCCUUUGGAUGGGCCCGCGUUGGAUUAGCUAGUUGGUAGGGUAAAAGCCUACCAAGGCGACGAUCCAUAGCUGGUCUGAGAGGAGGAUCAGCCACACUGGGGCUGAGACACGGCCCAGUCUCCUACGGAAGGCAGCGGUGGGGAAUAUUGGACAAUGGGCGAAAGCCUGAUCCAGCAAUGCCGCGUGAGUGAUGAAGGCCUUAGUGUUGUAAAGCUCUUUUACCCGGGAUGAUAAUGACAGUACCGGGAGAAUAAGCUCCGGCUAACUCCGUG
rnacentral:rRNA from 1 species